GUCAGGUGGCUCAAUGGGUCAGUGCAUCUGGCUGUUAAUCAGAAGGCUGGUGGUUCGUGCCCACCUAGGGACA